GCCAGGCGUGGUGGUGCACGCCUGUAAUCCCAGCCACUCGGGGGCUGAGACGGGAGAAUCCCUUGAACCCGGGAGGUGGAGGUUGUGGUGAGUGGAGAUCAUACCACUGCACUCCAGCCUGGGUGACAGAGGGAGACUCCAUCUCAA
rnacentral:SRP_RNA from 1 species